UACGAAGGGGGCUAGCGUUGUUCGGAAUUACUGGGCGUAAAGCGCACGUAGGCGGGCGAUUAAGUCAGGGGUGAAAUCCCGGAGCUCAACUCCGGAACUGCCUUUGAUACUGGUCGUCUAGAGAUCGGAAGAGGUGAGUGGAAUUCCCCAGUGUAGAGGUGAAAUUCGUAGAUAUUGGGAAGAACACCGGUGGCGAAGGCGGCUCACUGGUCCGAUACUGACGCUGAGGUGCGAAAGCGUGGGGAGCAAACAGG
rnacentral:rRNA from 1 species